rnacentral:rRNA from 1 species
GACGAACGCUGGCGGCGUGCUUAACACAUGCAAGUCGAACGGAAAGGCCCUGCUUGCAGGGUACUCGAGUGGCGAACGGGUGAGUAACACGUGGGUGAUCUGCCCUGCACUUCGGGAUAAGCCUGGGAAACUGGGUCUAAUACCGGAUAGGAGCCAUUUUUAGUGUGAUGGUUGGAAAGUUUUUUCGGUGUAGGAUGAGCUCGCGGCCUAUCAGCUUGUUGGUGGGGUAAUGGCCUACCAAGGCGGCGACGGGUAGCCGGCCUGAGAGGGUGGACGGCCACAUUGGGACUGAGAUACGGCCCAGACUCCUACGGGAGGGAGCAGUGGGGAAUAUUGCACAAUGGGCGCAAGCCUGAUGCAGCGACGCCGCGUGGGGGAUGACGGCCUUCGGGUUGUAAACUCCUUUCGCUAGGGACGAAGCUUUUUGUGACGGUACCUAGAUAAGAAGCACCGGCUAACUACGUG